rnacentral:misc_RNA from 1 species
AUGAAGAACGUAGCGAAAUGCGAUAAGUAAUGUGAAUUGCAGAAUUCAGUGAAUCAUCGAAUCUUUGAACGCACAUUGCGCCCCUUGGUAUUCCGAGGGGCAUGCCUGUUCGAGCGUCAUUUUAACCCCUCAAGCUCAGCUUGGUGUUGGGGCCUGCUGCACUGGCAGCCCUUAAAAUCAGUGGCGGCGCCAUCUGGCUCUAAGCGUAGUAAUUCUUCUCGCUAUGGAGUCCUGGUGGAUGCUUGCCAUCAACCCCCAAUUUUUCUAUGGUUGACCUCGGAUCAGGUAGGGAUACCCGCUGAACUUAAGCAUAUCAAAAGCGGAGGA